rnacentral:rRNA from 1 species
CAAGCGGUGGAGGUAUGUGGUUUAAUUCGAUGCAACGCGAAGAACCUUACCUCGGUCUUGACAUCCCGGAGACCCUUAGGAAACUAGGGGUGCUCCAUCUGGAAGAAUCUGGAGACAGGUGCUGCAUGGCUGUCGUCAGCUCGUGUCGUGAGAUGUUGGGUUAAGUCCCGCAACGAGCGCAACCCUUGCCUUUAGUUGCCAGCAGUUCGACUGGGCACUCUAAAGGGACUGCCGGUGUUAAACCGGAGGAAGGUGGGGAUGACGUCAAGUCCUCAUGGCCUUUAUGACCAGGGCUACACACGUACUACAAUGGCCGAUACAAAGGGCAGCGACACUGCGAGGUGAAGCCAAUCCCGUAAAAUCGGUCUCAGUCCGGAUUGGAGUCUGCAACUCGACUCCAUGAAGUUGGAAUCGCUAGUAAUCGUGGAUCAGCAUGCCACGGUGAAUACGUUCCCGGGCCUU